GACGAACGCUGGCGGCGCGCUUAACACAUGCAAGUCGAACGGAAAGGCCUGCUUUCCCUUGUGGAUUGCGGGUACUCGAGUGGCGAACGGGUGAGUAACACGUGAGUGAUCUGCCCCCAACUUGGGUAUAAGCCUGGGAAACUGGGUCUAAUUCCCGAUAGGACUGCAGGGUGGUGCCUGUGGUGGAAAACGAUUUUCUAGUGGUUGGGGAUGAGCUCGCGGCCUAUCAGCUUGUUGGUGGGGUAAUGGCCUACCAAGGCGGCGACGGGUAGCCGGCCUGAGAGGGUGGACGGCCAAAUUGGGACUGAGAUACGGCCCAGACGCCUACGGGAGGCAGCAGUGGGGAAUAUUGGACAAUGGGCGGAAGCCUGAUGCAGCGACGCCGCGUGGGGGAUGACGGCCUUCGGGUUGUAAACUCCUUUCGACCGCGAGGAAGCCACCUGGUUGGAAGGGUGGUGACGGUAGUGGUAGAAGAAGCACCGGCUAACUACGUG
rnacentral:rRNA from 1 species